CCUACGGGUGGCAGCAGUGGGGAAUAUUGCACAAUGGGGGAAACCCUGAUGCAGCGACGCCGCGUGAAUGAAGAAGUAUUUCGGUAUGUAAAGCUCUAUUAGCAGGGAAGAAAAUGGCGGUACCUGCUUAAGAAUCCGCGUCUAACUACGUGCCAGCAGCCGCCGUAAUACGUCGGGGGCAAGCGUUAUCCGGCUGUACUGGGGGUAGAGGGAGCGUAGACGGCAGCACAAGUCUGGAGUGAAAUGCCGGGGCGUAACCCCGGAACUGCUUUGGAAACUGUGCAGCUAGAGUGCAGGAGAGGCAAGUGGAAUGCCUAGUGUAGCGGUGAAAUGCGUAGAUAGUAGGAGGAACACCAGUGGCGAAGGCGGCUUACUGGACUGUAACUGACGUUGAGGCUCGAAAGCGUGGGGAGCAAACAGGAUUAGAUACCCGGGUAGUC
rnacentral:rRNA from 1 species